AACAAAAACAUUUCUUUUUGGUGUUAAUAAAAAGUAAGACCUGCCCCAUGAUAAUUAAAUGGCCGCAGUAAUAUGACUGUGCUAAGGUAGCAUAAUAAUUWGUCCUUUAAAUGAGGACUGGAAUGAAUGGUUCUAUGGAAAUUGAUUAAUGAUUUUAUUAUAGUAUGAAUUUAAUAUUUAAGUUAAAAUUCUUAAAUGUACCUAAAAGACGAGGAGACCCUGUGGAUCUUUACUACUUAACACUUAUUAUUAUUAAAGAUUUAAGUUCAAAGGUAGUUUGAUUGGAACGAUUCUUUAUUUAACUAAAGUUAGUGAAAUUAUUUUUGAUCCUACUUAAGGAAAUAAGAAUAAGUUACCCCAGGGAUAACAGCGUUAUAUUACCGGAUAGUUCAUAUKGAUGGUAAUGUUUGCGACCUCGAUGUUGAAUUAAAAUUUCUUUGUGAAGCAGAAGUCACAAGAAGUUAGUCUGUUCGACUACGAAAAUUUUACGUGAUCUGAGUUC
rnacentral:rRNA from 1 species